CACAGUGUGAACGCUAUGGCUACGUGGAAACCGUCCCGUUAACUUCUUAUCCUUAGGAUUACUCUUUUCGUGAAGAAUAUCCAAGCUUUUGCGGGCUCGGUCCAGGAAUCGCAGCACCUGCUCCAUCAGGGCACGGUACUAAAGUGUUAAAAAUGGCAAUCGAAUAUUUUUCGGGGACAGACGGUGAAGUAUUCAAGAAAUGGGGAUAAGGUAAUCUGGUCGAGGACAUCAACAAUUUCCUCUUGUAAAUCAGGAAAACAUUGUCGAUUACUUGUACGUGAGGUAUUUCACUGGUCGCUAAAACCUUCUGAAGUCUUUGGUUCUCUUCUAUCAACGAUCGGUAUUGCUGAAACAAAAAAUAAAAAUGACGAAAUCAGUUAACGAUAAUUAUUGGUGUUUUCUUUUUAAAUUCAAUUUCUUACUUUUAUCGCACUUUAGGUUUAACGAGGAGAGUGUCCAGCUCUCGAACGACUUUCCUGAACAUAAUAAUCGUUUCAAAAGAAGAAAGAAGCGACAUGGUACGGCGUAUAUACACGCGUUAAUACAAGGUUUCACCUUGCGUAGGAGAUUUUCACACGGUGGAGUGAACACAAUUCGACGUUAGCAGAGCGUACGCCUGUUUAUUGUGCGGACAUUGCUUUACCAAUAGCGGUAUAUUUUAUUUAAAAUAAUACAUUGCUCUAAUCACCGUUAAACGUAGGAGAAACGUUAAAUAUUUGUAUCUUUAAUUACCUUAAACUUUUUGUCGAUUUUCUAAUUAAUAUUCUAGCGCCUUCAUUUUACAAAAUAAUAUUCCAGGUAUAAUAUUGCAUAAGUCUAUGAAAUACAAAUGUAUACAACCGUAUAAUAAAAUAAUAAGAUUUAAAGGUGGACUCUAAAUAAAUAAAUUAAGGAAGAAAUAUUCCGGAA